rnacentral:pre_miRNA from 1 species
AUCACCUGGGGAUUUUGUUAAAAGGCAGAUUCUGAUUCAGUAGAUCCACAGUGAGUCCUGAGAUUCUGCAUUUCUAACAAACUCUAGGGGAUACCAG